UACGAAGGGGGCUAGCGUUGCUCGGAAUCACUGGGCGUAAAGGGUGCGUAGGCGGAUCUUUAAGUCAGGGGUGAAAUCCCCGAGCUCAACUCGGGAACUGCCCUCCAAACUGUUUGGCUUGAGUCCGGGAGAGGUGAGUGGAACUGCGAGUGUAGAGGUGAAAUUCGUAGAUAUUCGCAAGAACACCAGUGGCGAAGGCGGCUCACUGGCCCGAUACUGACGCUGAGGCACGAAAGCGUGGGGAGCAAACAGG
rnacentral:rRNA from 1 species